UGCUUGAAGGAAUCUUGACUAUUUUGUGUU
rnacentral:piRNA from 1 species